CUGGUUCAGGAUGAACGCUGGCGGCGUAGCCUAACACAUGCAAGUCGAACGAAGCAUGAUUGAAGGAGACUUCGGUCAAUGGAUAUCAUGACUUAGUGGCGGACGGGUGAGUAAUACAUGAGCAACCUGCCUUUCAGAGGGGGACAACAGCUGGAAACGGCUGCUAAUACCGCAUAACGUGCGAGAGGGGCAUCCCUUUUGUACCAAAGGAGCAAUCCGCUGAAAGAUGGGCUCAUGACUGAUUAGUUAGUUGGCAGGGCAACGGCCUACCAAGACUGCGAUCAGUAGCCGGACUGAGAGGUUGAACGGCCACAUUGGGACUGAGAUACGGCCCAGACUCCUACGGGAGGCAGCAGUGGGGAAUAUUGGGCAAUGGGCGAAAGCCCUGACCCAGCAACGCCGCGUGAAGGAAGAAGGUCUUCGGAUUGUAAACUUCUUUUAUGAGGGACGAAGGACGUGACGGUACCUCAUGAAUAAGCCACGGCUAACUACGUGCCAGCCGCUGC
rnacentral:rRNA from 1 species